rnacentral:rRNA from 1 species
CCUACGGGAGGCAGCAGUGGGGAAUAUUGCGCAAUGGGCGGAAGCCUGACGCAGCGACGCCGCGUGGGGGAUGACGGCCUUCGGGUUGUAAACCUCUUUCAGCAGGGACGAAGCGGAAGUGACGGUACCUGCAGAAGAAGCACCGGCCAACUACGUGCCAGCAGCCGCGGUAAUACGUAGGGUGCAAGCGUUGUCCGGAAUUAUUGGGCGUAAAGAGCUCGUAGGCGGUUUGUUGCGUCGGCUGUGAAAUCCCGAGGCUCAACCUCGGGUCUGCAGUCGAUACGAGCAAACUAGAGUGUUGCAGGGGAGACUGGAAUUCCUGGUGUAGCGGUGAAAUGCGCAGAUAUCAGGAGGAACACCGGUGGCGAAGGCGGGUCUCUGGGCAACAACUGACGCUGAGGAGCGAAAGCGUGGGGAGCGAACAGGAUUAGAUACCCUGGUAGUCCACGCCGUAAACGUUGGGCGCUAGGUGUGGGGCUCAUUCCACGAGUUCCGUGCCGCAGCUAACGCAUUAAGCGCCCCGCCUGGGGAGUACGGCCGCAAGGCUAAAACUCAAAGGAAUUGACGGGGGCCCGCACAAGCGGCGGAGCAUGUUGCUUAAUUCGAUGCAACGCGAAGAACCUUAC